rnacentral:rRNA from 1 species
CAAUAGCGUAUAUUAAAGUUGUUGCAGUUAAAAAGCUCGUAGUUGGAUUUCGGGGCAGCCUGGCUGGUCCGCCGCAAGGCGAGUACUGGUCAGCCGCCCUUCCUCUCGAAAGCCCCGACUGCUCUUUAUUGCAGUGGUCGGGUAGUUCGGGACGUUUACUUUGAAAAAAUUAGAGUGUUCAAGGCAGGCCUACGCCUGAAUACAUUAGCAUGGAAUAAUGGAAGAGGACCUCGGUCCUAUUUUGUUGGUUUCCAGGACCGAAGUAAUGAUUAAGAGGGACAGUUGGGGGCAUUCGUAUUUGAUUGUCAGAGGUGAAAUUCUCGGAUUUAUGAAAGACGAACAACUGCGAAAGCAUUUGCCAAGGAUGUUUUCAUUAA